AACCCAGCAACUCUGAAGUGGAGAGACAGGCGGACAGGGCUGAUUACCCUCAGAACAAGCCAUCAACUAGUAGGAGGGCUUAAUUCUUAGCCCCAUCAGCUGCAAAUCAUAGCUCCCAGCAAUUCCCAACUGAAAAGCCUUUUGGAAAAAUUUUGGAGUUUCUGAAAUAGGGCCCCCAGUCCUAGCCAAGCAAGAGCUGGAGUCAGCUCCACUGACUGCAAAGCAUGGCCUCUAGAACAAAGUCAAGGGCCCUGUUCAACCAGGGAAGCUGAGGCAUGGAUUGGCUUAAGAUCACAAAGAAUUAGCAACCUUAAAUCUGCUUCUUCCCUGGCAGAGAAGCUAACUUGCAGCCCCAUUUACUACUGAACAUAGUCUCCAGACCACCUGAGCAGGAACCUUACCAGAGCACAUAGGAAGCUGUGGAGCCCAUACAAAAGCACUAAUUAUAGUGGCACUUAAACAGCACAAUCGUGGUUUUUACCUGUCUGCAGACCAGAUCCAUUGGCCUUACCUUACCAGGAUAUUUAGUGCACAUUGUUUGCUGAUUCACUGAUCUAUGCAGGCCUUGGAUCCCCUCCUGCUGUGCUGCCAGGGCUGGGAAGCUACACAGAACCCCACAUACUGCUGAGUAUUGUACCCAGUCCCUACUGUUAAGCCUGACCAGAGAAUCCAGGCAACUACAAAGCCAAUCCUAUUGGACAGGGAACCAAGAUAGCAGUUUUAUCCAGCUGUGCUUAGCCAGCAGCACUCCUCCCUACCCACAACCUUAGAACUUGAACUGUUGCUUUGCUCAAAAAUAGAACCUAAGAGCAGAUGCAUCCUGCCCAAGGACAUUACUAGCAGACAUGUCCAGAACCCCAAACUGAACUUAAUGAUGAAGAACUAUCUCUGUCUCUGCCAAAGUGAACCUGCAAAAUCUAGAAAAAGAAACUACGCAUUCACAUGCACAGAUUAUCAGUAUGAGUAAUCAAAGAUCAUGAAAAAUCAGGUAAUUAUGAUACCACUAAUGGAAACUAACAAAGUUUUAAGAACUAAUACUAAAGAAAUGUAGGUCAAUGAAUUGUCAAACAAACUUAUAAUUACCAAAGGGGAAACAUGGGGGAGGGAUAAAUUAGGAGUAUGUGAUUAACAUAUACAUACUACUGUAUAUAAAAUAGAUAACCAAAAAGGACCUACUGGGUAGCACAAGGGAACUCUACUCAGUAUUCCGUAACAAUGGAAAAAGAAUCUGAAAAAGAAUAUAUACAUAUAUAUAAAUUUGUUGUAUACCUGAAACUAACAUUAUAAAGCAAUUCCAAUUAGAAAAAGAAUUCAGAAUAAUUCUCUUUAAAAAUGUUUAGGAACUCUAGGAACACACAAUUAAAGGAAAUUAGCAAAACAAUGCAUGAACAAAAUUAGAAAUUCACCAAAGAAAUAAACAUCAAUCCUACCCCUGCCCCCAAAAUCCUAAAGCUAAAAAAUACAAUAACUGAACUGAACAAUUCACUAGGGAGCUUCAAAAGCAGACUCAGAUAUCAGAAGAAAGAAUCAGAAACCUAGAAGAUAGGACAUUUGAAAUUAUCCAGUCAGAGCAACAAAAUAGAAAAGAAUGAAAAAGAGUAAUGAAAACUUACAGGGCUUAUGGGACACAAUAAAGAGAAACAAUAUUCACAUUCUGGGAAUCCAGAGGAAGAGAAAGGGAUGGAAAGUACAUUUAAAGCCAUAACGGGUGAAUACUUCCCAAACCUGGCAGACCAAUAGCUAUCCAGGUCCAAGAUGACCAAAAGACCCCCCAAAAGGUUGAACCAUAGAGGGCCACGCUGAGACACAUUAUAAUUAAAUUGUAAAAACAGUAAGAGAAAAGAGAGAAGUUACCUAUAAGGGAACCCCCAUCAGAGUAUCAGUGGAUUUCUCAAGAGAAACUUUUCAGGCAAGAAAAAAAUGGGAUGAUAUUCAUAAUGUCAAAAGAAAAAAAACUGUCAGUUAAGAAUACCACAUGGAGUGAAGCUGUCCUUCAGAAAUAAAGGUGGAAUAUAGAUUUUCCUGAACAAACAAGAGCUUAGGGAAUUUAUCACCAUUAUACCUGCCUUACAGAAAAUGACAAAGAUAGUUCUUUGAGUGGAAAUGAAAGAACACUAAUUAACAUCAUAAAACCAUAAAAAAGAGGAGUAUAAAACCCAUGUGUAAGGCUAAAUAUAGUUAAAACUGGAUUCUCUAAUGAGGUAAUGGUGGUGUGUAAUUCACUUACAAUUUUAGUUUAAAAGUUAACAAAUAUAGUGAAAAUAAGCAUAUGUAGAAUAAUUGUUAUCAGUUACAUAAUACAAAACAUAUGUAAAUUGUAACAUCAAAUUGGCAUAUGCACACACUGGUGUAUGGAAUGACUAGCCAGUAGGGACAUGCUGUAUAGCACAGGGAACUCUACCCAAUAUUCCGUGAUAAAAUAUAUGGGAAAAAUAUGAUAAAGAAUGGCUGGGUAUAUAUGCAUAACUCAAUCAUUUUGUUGUAGAGCAGAAAUUAUUACAACAUUAUAAAUCAACUAUACCUUAAUAAAACUUUUUUUUGACCCACAGAAAAAUUAGAGGGGAAGGAGAAUUAAUAAUGUAAGGCUUAGGAAUUCUCUUGAAGUUAUUAGUUUAAAGUAGGGUGUUAUAAGAUAUCUUACAUAAGCCCCAUGAUAAUCCCAAGGAAAAAACCUAUAGUAAUUACACCAAAUAACAUGAUGUAAUAAUCACAGCAUACUGAUACCACAAAAUAUCAAACAAACAAAUGAAAAAAGAUAUCAAGAAAGAAGGGGCAAUGGUUCUUCUAAACAACCAAAGAAAAAAACAAACCCCAAAAUAAAGUGACAAUAGUAAUUUCUGAUUUAUCAAUAACUACUUUAGAAUUAGUACAUUAAAUUCCCUAGCCAAAAGAUACAGAAUGACUGAAUGGACAUAAAAAUUAGAUCCAACAAUAUGCUUCCUACAUAUGACUCAUUUUAGCCUGAUAACAAUAGUAAAUAUUUAUGAGCCCAACAUUGGAGCAACUAAAUACAUAAAGCAAAAACUAACAAAGGUAAGAGGAGGAAAAAAACAGCAAUAUGAUAAUGAUUGGGAAUUUUAAUAUUUCACUCUCAGUAAUAAUAGAUUAUUUAGACUAAGAAUCAAUAAGGAGGCAGUGAUAUUAAUGAUACCACAGACCAUUUGUAUGUAACAGACAAAUUCAGAUCAUCCUAUUUGUCAACAGAAAAAUAUACACUCUUAAGUGCACAUAAACAUUUUCUAGGAUAAACCACAAAACAAUCCUUAGCAAAUUCAAGAAGCCUGACAUCAUAACCAAGUAGCUCCUCUGACUAUACUGGUGUGAAACUAGUAAUAGCAGGACAACAAAAAUUAAUGAACACCUGGAAACUAAGCAACACUCUUCUGAACAACUAAUGGGCAAAAGAAAUUAAAGGGGGGAUGUUCCUGUUGUGGCUCAGCGGUAAUGAACCUGACUAGUGUUCAUGAGGAUGCAGUUUCAAUCCCCGGCAUUGCUCAGUGGGUUAAGGAUCUGGCAUUUGCUGUGAGCUGUAUAUAGGUCACAGACACAGCUUGGAUCUGGCAUUGCUGUGGCUGUUGUAUAGGCCAGCAGCUGUAGCUCCAAUAUGACCCCUAGCCUGGGAACUUCCAUAUACUGCAG
rnacentral:lncRNA from 1 species